CUCUCCUCUUCUCCCUUCCUGCUUCCUGUUUCUCUUUUGCAGCUGGCUGGGAAAAAGACUGUUUCCAUUUGUUUGCAGGCUGUUAAUGAAAUAUACUUUGAAAGGGAUGUACUGUCAUGGAAAGCAACUAUAAUUUUACAGGGGUACAAAGAUGAAGAAAAUAACCGAUUUCCUACUGACGGACCUACAAUCGAAUGGAUAUGAUGAUACCCCAAAAAGGGAUAGAUUAGGAACAGAAAAACAAAGACAUUGAGUUAAUUAAUCUUUAUAAGACCAUAUGCGUUUCAUCACCAGCCAGCUGGAAUGGUUGCCAAUAUAUAACUACUAGAGAAGUCAAAGAGAUGAAUGGCAGUAGGUGCAGGCAAGAAGAUGAAACAAUGGAAUCCAGCAUUCAAUAUUCUGAACCAUCUCCUGGCAAAAAAACUCAAAACAAGAUAAAACUACAAUAGCAGGACAUUAUAAAGCGCUACUGCAACACACAGAGCUUGCUCCUUUCAUAAAUGACAGUCAUACUUCAGUAAUUUUAGGAAGUAUUUGCUUUCACAUAGCCAAGAAACUGACAAAGGCAGUGCAUUCUUCCAAGUCUUAUUUACAGUUCAUUGUGCAGGUAGAUGUUAUUACUAGCUGGCAUGGGGUGCAGGAAUGACUCACAAGCUCAGUAUCUGUUUGAAAGCCAUUUUUAAAAAUGCACAUCUUAGCCAUUUUUCCAGAUUGCAGGCUUCCAAAGACACAGCACUCUUUCCAAGGUUUUUAAAUAUAUUUAUUGUAUUUAUUUAAUUUCUACCCUGCUAUUCUCUCUUGAAGUACCCUAUAUAGCUUACAACAAACAUUUUAAAAAGAGAUGCUACUAAAACCAAAAAAAUUUACAGGAUCAGAUGUGCCUGUGAUGAUGGCGGACAUAUCAUAUACCUAACAUAGGUUUUCCAUAUAUUACAUCUUCUGUAUGUGUUAAACAGAAUAUAUUUCAGUAGUAUAAGUCAGAAUCCUAUUAUGCAAUUGCACAAGUUGAGUGGUGUAAGGAAUUUUGUCUCUUCUGUCUGACCACUGCACUCUCCUGCACUCACUGAUCUUACAAAUGCUUUGUGCACCUUCUGUGCACCAGCUGCACGACGAAUGGCAACCCAGAGGAGAAAACUGCUUGCAUGAUUGCUCUUAUGUAUGUGGUUGUCUCCAAAUAUAAUUUUGGAUAUAGUGUAAAAUAAAAUCUUUCAA